AUUACUUAAUUCUUAAUUAAGAAAUAUUUCUUGAUAUUUAUUGAUUUUGUAUUUCUCAUAAUAUACCACUUAUCACAAAUAAAUUUACACAUUUUAUCUCCAUGUAAGUAUCUCAUCUCUUCCUAUAAGUUUUUCUAUUUUUCUUUUGUUUUGCUGUGUUAUUCUCCUCAGGACGCUUUAAUACCUACCACUCAGUUUUUGAAAUGCCUUUUAAAAUUUUCUCAGGCCACACUAAAAAGCAAUUACCUGUAAAGAAGUUAAUCCCUUGCAAAUUUAUUUUGUUCAUUAUAUUCAAUGCACAUGAUAAACUAAUGUUGUUAAUACAUGUACGUCUAAAUUGUAGUAAUGCGUGUAAAUAUACACAUAUUUAUGAAUUUAAACUUUGUAACCC
rnacentral:lncRNA from 1 species